rnacentral:lncRNA from 1 species
UUACAGGCGUGAGCCACGGUGCCUGGCCCCAGGCCUUUUAGACUGAACUCAGACAUCACCUCCUUCAGAAAGCCUUCAUGAUGAGUGUUUGUGUCUGCGCAGGCAUGGCACUAAGUGUCCCAUGGCACAUUUGGCCCUCAUGGAGGCCUCAAAAGGGCAGGACCAGCACCCUCUUCUACGGAGGAAGGAACGGGCACAGCAGGUACAUGAUGUGGUCAAAUUAACAAGAGGCAGAGGCCGGGGUGAGCCACUGCGCCUGAUCAAGGCAUCACCGUUGAACCUCCUAAGAGGAAAACAUAAGGCUGUGCAAUACCAGGAACUGGGAUUCUAGGUUGCCCCAGACACCAAGGCAUCAAAAGCCAGGGGAUCCAGAGAAAACACAGACAGCCAAGAGAGAAACUGCGGGAAAAAGCCAAAAGGUUGAGAGCCACACCAUCUAGAAGCUUCCUGCCUGUGGUGCGGCACAGAAACAAGGAGAGUCAGCAAUUACCAGCCAGCCAAGGUCCUGGAAGCUGACGUAGAGCUCGUGCCGACGGCAGACCUGCCGGCCGUGGGAGCCGCGGACGUCAUCUGCAGGGACAGAAGGGGCAAGGUCUUUUCUGGGGUUCCUGCUGUGUGCAGCUACUAUGGGGUACCAGGGUGGGGGAUGCCCUGAUGAGCACAUUUGUCAAAUAAAUGAAUGACAGGAAACCA